AACGGCCGUACCAUGCUGAAUAUACCGGUUCUCGUUAGAUCACCGAAGUUAAGCAUCAUUGGGCGCGGUCAGUACUUGGGUGGGUGACCACCUGGGAACACCGCGUGUCGUU
rnacentral:rRNA from 1 species